GAUCCUGGCUCAGGAUGAACGCUAGCGACAGGCUUAACACAUGCAAGUCGAGGGGCAGCAUAAUUUGUAGCAAUACAGAUUGAUGGCGACCGGCGCACGGGUGAGUAACGCGUAUGCAACUUACCUAUCAGAGGGGGAUAGCCCGGCGAAAGUCGGAUUAAUACCCCAUAAAACAGGGGUCCCGCAUGGGAAUAUUUGUUAAAGAUUCAUCGCUGAUAGAUAGGCAUGCGUUCCA
rnacentral:rRNA from 1 species